AACGUAGGACGCAAGCGUUAUCCGGAGUUACUGGGCGUAAAGCGCGGGCAGGCGGCUCGAAACGUCUGAUGUGAAGUCUCCUCGCUCAACGGGGAGAGGCCAUUGGAAACGGUCGAGCUGGAGGGCAGUAGAGGUAGGCGGAAUUCCGGGUGGAGUGGUGAAAUGCGUAGAGAUCCGGAGGAACACCAGAGGCGAAGGCGGCCUACUGGGCUGCACCUGACGCUGAGCCGCGAAAGCCAGGGGAGCGAACGGG
rnacentral:rRNA from 1 species